ensembl:lncRNA
AUGCCUGUGACAUCCCUACCUUGGCUUCUGGUCCAUGGGACAUCCGUCCUCAUCGCGGAUCGUGCACCUGGGGACACGGGUGUAACCCCUGCUGUCAGCAGCCCCCUGCAGCUGCCAGCACCCCCUCCUCAUCUAGGGACCCCUCCCAACUCACGAGUGGGUGCAGUUGGUGGGGCAGAGCUGGCACACUCCGAAUUCAUCUGGGUAUUUCCAGACGGGCACGAAGGAGGCGUCGGCCUUGACGCCGCUGGGGCAGCGCCGCACGCACUGCUGGCCGUCCUUGUAGUGGGCACAGGCCACGCACUGGUCUGGAUCCUGCAGGAACAGGGCUGGGUUGAGGGACCCAGGUGUGUGGGGACACUCCUCACCCCACCCAGAGCGUGUCCCUGUCCUCACCGAUCCAAAGCAGGUCUCGGUGCCGUUCUGGGGCUGGCACUCAGGGUGGCACGGCAGGCACCGCGUCCCGUUGGCGUGUUCCCGGACGGCUCUGCAGGGCAAAAAGGGGCAGGGAUGGGGUUCCAGCCUCGCCCUGCAGCGUGUGUGGGGACUCUGUCUGGCACUCCCGAGGGUCUCCACUCACCCAUCCAGGAGGUUGCAGGAGGCCACGCACUCCUGGCCGCGCAGGAACCGCUCGCACGCCACGCACUGGGUGGGGCCGGGGCCCCAGCAGUGCCCCUGGGCGCAGAGGUGGAAGCAAACCAGCCCCUCUCUCUCUGCAGGAGGGGCACCAUCAGCACCUCUGUCAGCAAUGGGGGGGUCACCAUCUCCCCCCACCCCCACGGGACCCCCCCUCUUACCGCACUGCUCGGGGGGUUUGUUGUGGGUCUGGAAGAGGCGCUGGCGGGGGUUCCGGAAGAUGCUGUGCCAGGGCACCUUCUGGAGGAAGCAGAGCUGGGGGUUGUGGUGCACCAGCACCAUCCCACUGCUGAUCUCCUGCAGGGCCCGGAGCCCCAGCGCCUGCACCUCCAGGUCCUUCAUGUCAGGCGGCCAGGCUGCGAUGUAGAGGAAGCCUGGGGGGAGCUGAGUGUCACCCCCUCAUGUCCCCCCCAAACCCAGAGCCCCCCCAGCUCCCCCAGCUCUCACCCGUCAGCUCCUCCAGGCUCUCGAAGAUCCGCAGCAGUUUGGGGUCCAGGGGGGGGGUGUUGGUGCUGGGGUCCCUGCAAGGGAUGGGAGGGAGGUUGGGGGGGUCCUGUUGGGGGGUCCCCAGUGGGCUCAGGGAGGGGAAUCAGCCACUCACCCAGCGAAGGUCUCGGGCAGGAAGGCCAGGCUCCCAAAAAUCUUGGUGCAGCCGGAGAAGUGCUGGAUGUUGGAGGCGUUCACAGCACGGACGCCCUUCAGGAAAUCCACUCCCAGCCCGUAGCACACUGGGGGGGGCAUGGCAGGGGUGCUCUUCCAGGACCCCUGAGCCCCCCAAAACACUGCCCCACCAGCAACAGGGCAUAGCAGCACCCCCACACAGCCUUGGAGUCCCCAGAGCUGCACUGGGGAUGGAUCACCCCCAUCCUUGGGGUCCCCAGAGCCCCCCAAGACUUGGGAAAGCUGCUUACCCAAAC